rnacentral:rRNA from 1 species
UACGUAGGGGGCGAGCGUUGUCCGGAUUUAUUGGGCGUAAAGCGCGGGCAGGCGGCCCGGUAAGUCGGCCGUGAAAGCGCCGGGCUCAACUCGGCGAGGACGGGCGAGACUGCAGGGCUGGAGCAAGGCAGAGGGCGGUGGAAUUCCGGGUGUAGUGGUGGAAUGCGUAGAGCUCCGGAGGAACACCAGUGGCGAAGGCGG